rnacentral:rRNA from 1 species
UACAGAGGUCCCAAGCGUUGUUCGGAUUCACUGGGCGUAAAGGGUGUGUAGGCGGCCAAGAUAGUCUGGUGUCAAAUCUCUGGGCUCAACCCAGAUACCGCACCGGAUACUUCAUGGCUAGAGAAGCGUAGGGGGAACCGGAAUUCUCGGUGUAGCAGUGAAAUGCGUAGAUAUCGAGAGGAACGCCAGUGGCGAAAGCGGGUUCCUGGAUGCCUUCUGACGCUGAGGCACUAAAGCUGGGGGAGCAAACGGG